UGCAGUCGAACGGUAACAGGUCUUCGGAUGCUGACGGGUGGCGAACGGGUGAGUAAUACAUCGGAACGUGCCCGAGAGUGGGGGAUAACGAAGCGAAAGCUUUGCUAAUACCGCAUACGAUCUCAGGAUGAAAGCAGGGGACCGCAAGGCCUUGCGCUCACGGAGCGGCCGAUGGCAGAUUAGGUAGUUGGUGGGAUAAAAGCUUACCAAGCCGACGAUCUGUAGCUGGUCUGAGAGGACGACCAGCCACACUGGGACUGAGACACGGCCCAGACUCCUACGGGAGGCAGCAGUGGGGAAUUUUGGACAAUGGGCGCAAGCCUGAUCCAGCCAUGCCGCGUGCAGGAUGAAGGCCUUCGGGUUGUAAACUGCUUUUGUACGGAACGAAAAGACUCUGGUUAAUACCUGGGGUCCAUGACGGUACCGUAAGAAUAAGCACCGGCUAACUACGUGCCAGCAGCCGCGGUAAUACGUAGGGUGCGAGCGUUAAUCGGAAUUACUGGGCGUAAAGCGUGCGCAGGCGGUUAUAUAAGACAGAUGUGAAAUCCCCGGGCUCAACCUGGGAACUGCAUUUGUGACUGUAUAGCUAGAGUACGGCAGAGGGGGAUGGAAUUCCGCGUGUAGCAGUGAAAUGCGUAGAUAUGCGGAGGAACACCGAUGGCGAAGGCAAUCCCCUGGGCCUGUAUUGACGCUCAUGCACG
rnacentral:rRNA from 1 species